AAUUAUCAAAGUAAUAUGAUCUUUUCUGAAAUAGUUUGUGUAAAUAACACCCAUAGACACCGACUGGGUGUGCCAGGUGGUUGUACUUGUGCAGGAUCCGACUGUACUUAUGGAAGUGAAGGAUUCGACUGAACUCGUUUGAGUACUGGACCAAAACGAAGCGGAAGUGAAGUGUUCCCACAUAAAAAUAAACAACCGAGUGCAGAGGUACACUCGGUGGCGUGGCCUCCGAGUGAACGUCAUGUGCGACUUCCUCGAUACUCGGUAAUG
rnacentral:lncRNA from 1 species